GUUUAUGGGAUUGUGCCAUGUGAUGCACAGACCUGUUGUACCAAGUAUGUAGGACACUUUUGAGGGGCUAAACAUAUUUGUGUUUCAGGACUGAAAUUGAAGAGGGUUCCAGUAGACACUUGGUCUGUCAAGGAGAAGCUAUGUUUAGCCUCUGCUGUACUUCGAAGUGGGGACCAGAACUGGAUGUCUGUAAGUCGAGCACUGCGACUGUUUG